ACGCUCGACACCUACGGGAGGGCAGCAGUGGGGAAUAUUGCACAAUGGGGGAAACCCUGAUGCAGCGACGCCGCGUGAGUGAAGAAGUAUUUCGGUAUGUAAAGCUCUAUCAGCAGGGAAGAAAAUGACGGUACCUGAGUAAGAAGCCCCGGCUAACUACGUGUCAGCAGCCGCGGUAAUCUGAGCGGCUGGCAAGGC
rnacentral:rRNA from 1 species